rnacentral:rRNA from 1 species
UACAGAGGCCUCGAGCGUUAGGCGGAAUCACUGGGCUUAAAGCGUGUGUAGGCGGAUCGUUAAGUGCCUUGUGAAAUCCCACGGCUCAACCGUGGAACUGCUGGGCAUACUGGCGGUCUUGAGCCACCUAAGGGCAACUGGAACAGACGGUGGAGCGGUGAAAUGCGUAGAUAUCGUCUGGAACGCCAAUGGUGAAGACAGGUUGCUGGGGGUGCGCUGACGCUGAGACACGAAAGCCAGGGGAGCAAACGGG